rnacentral:rRNA from 1 species
GAUGAACGCUGGCGGCGUGCCUAAUACAUGCAAGUAGAACGCUGAAGGAGGAGCUUGCUCUUCUGGAUGAGUUGCGAACGGGUGAGUAACGCGUAGGUAACCUGCCUGGUAGCGGGGGAUAACUAUUGGAAACGAUAGCUAAUACCGCAUGACAACAGUUAUUGCAUGAUAACUGUUUAAAAGGGGCAACUGCUCCACUACCAGAUGGACCUGCGUUGUAUUAGCUAGUUGGUGAGGUAACGGCUCACCAAGGCGACGAUACAUAGCCGACCUGAGAGGGUGAUCGGCCACACUGGGACUGAGACACGGCCCAGACUCCUACGGGAGGCAGCAGUAGGGAAUCUUCGGCAAUGGACGGAAGUCCGACCGAGCAACGCCGCGUGAGUGAAGAAGGUUUUCGGAUCGUAAAGCUCUGUUGUAAGAGAAGAACGAGUGUGAGAGUGGAAAGUUCACACUGUGACGGUAUCUUACCAGAAAGGGACGGCUAACUACGUG